UGCAAGUCGAACGGUAAGGCCCUUCGGGGUACACGAGUGGCGAACGGGUGAGUAACACGUGGGUGAUCUGCCCUGCACUUUGGGAUAAGCCUGGGAAACUGGGUCUAAUACCGAAUAUGACCGCGCGAUGCAUGUCGUGUGGUGGAAAGCUUUUGCGGUGUGGGAUGGGCCCGCGGCCUAUCAGCUUGUUGGUGGGGUGAUGGCCUACCAAGGCGACGACGGGUAGCCGGCCUGAGAGGGUGACCGGCCACACUGGGACUGAGAUACGGCCCAGACUCCUACGGGAGGCAGCAGUGGGGAAUAUUGCACAAUGGGCGCAAGCCUGAUGCAGCGACGCCGCGUGAGGGAUGACGGCCUUCGGGUUGUAAACCUCUUUCAGCAGGGACGAAGGGUGACUGACGGUACCUGUAGAAGAAGGACCGGCCAACUACGUGCCAGCAGCCGCGGUAAUACGUAGGGUCCGAGCGUUGUCCGGAAUUACUGGGCGUAAAGAGCUCGUAGGUGGUUUGUCGCGUUGUUCGUGAAAACUCACAGCUCAACUGUGGGCGUGCGGGCGAUACGGGCAGACUGGAGUACUGCAGGGGAGACUGGAAUUCCUGGUGUAGCGGUGGAAUGCGCAGAUAUCAGGAGGAACACCGGUGGCGAAGGCGGGUCUCUGGGCAGUAACUGACGCUGAGGAGCGAAAGCGUGGGGAGCGAACAGGAUUAGAUACCCUGGUAGUCCACGCCGUAAACGGUGGGUACUAGGUGUGGGUUUCCUUCCUUGGGAUCCGUGCCGUAGCUAACGCAUUAAGUACCCCGCCUGGGGAGUACGGCCGCAAGGCUAAAACUCAAAGAAAUUGACGGGGGCCCGCACAAGCGGCGGAGCAUGUGGAUUAAUU
rnacentral:rRNA from 1 species